UGGAAAUGUAGCUUAAUUUGGUAAAGCACCGGCUUGUCACGCCGACGUUUGCGGGUUCAACUCCUGUCUUUUCCGU
rnacentral:tRNA from 1 species